GCGUCAGUGGUUUAGCGGUAAAAUCCAUCGUUGCCAUCGAUGGGCCCCGCGUUCGAUUCGCGGCUGACGCA
rnacentral:tRNA from 1 species